UCUUCAUGUUGGGAUUCCUCACUCUGAGUGAAUCAGAUAGUUGAAAUGAUAUUUUUGCUGGCAUGUAAAGUUUGUGUUUCUCUUUUUUAGGACUGUUGCCCAGUUUGACAGCUUGAAAGCUUUCACUCGAAUGGAUCAAUCACACUUCUAUCUGAAACCCCUGGCUUCUCUGUUUGCUUGUCCUGCGCAAUCUCUGGUUCUUCACAAGGCCGAGAUCAGAGAAGAAGGAAACAGUGGUGCUACAAUUUUGUCUCUGAAUUCAAGUCAGCCUGGGGGAUUCCUUUGAGUAUGUGCAGCAAAGCCUUGAAGAGAGCCUGACUAUCGAUUCAAGAUGUCAUCAAGAAACUAACACACAACACCGCGCUACUCCAGCACUUGAGAACCAUUCCUCAGUAGGCAGCUAAUUCAACACUGCUGUGGCUGUCUUAACUCUUCUGCUGCACAAUCUCUUUUUGAUUCAUCACAAUGUGAAGCUUAGCUUAUGCAGCUUGCUGAAUGCAUUCGUAAUCUUCUUGUCUAAUUAAAGGCUUGGAUAUAUUAGAGUCUUCAUGAAUCUUCAUGAAAGAAUACGCUUUUGUGUCCUGUUGUCAAACUGGUAAAUUUCUGUUGCCAGAAUGGUUUGCUUUUGCAAAGGGAAACAGCUGUUAUG
rnacentral:lncRNA from 1 species